rnacentral:rRNA from 1 species
UGGCUGGUGGCUGGCUGGCUGGCUGACUGGCUAGGCGGUGGGUUGGCGGGACGGCUGGGUGGUUUGCUUGCUGGCUGGGCUGGCUGGUGCGAUGCUGCACUACUACUGCUUGCGUGCAGUGAGCGUGUGUUGGCAGGGAUUGUGUUGCCGUGGCAUGAAGAAGCACUGUCGUGUCAAGCUGGCAAGGCGAUGGUGUCACCUUUGAGCCAUGUCUGUGGUGUAACAGCUACAGGUGUGGACGGGUGUUGGGCAGCGCUCUGCAACGUUGUGGAGUCUGUCGGCUCGUCUGCAUGCCUUUGGAUGCCCUUAAAAAGGUGUCUGCGGGCGGAUGGCACGUUUACUUUGAACAAAUUUGAGUGCUCAAAUCAGGCCGAUGUUGCCUGAAAAGUUUUGCAUGGAAUAAUGGAAUAGGACUUCGGUUCUAUUUCGUUGGUUUUCGGAUCCGAAGUAAUGAUCAAAAGAGACAGGCGGGGACGUUUGUAUGGCUGCGCUAGAGGUGAAAUUCAUGGACCGUAGCCAGACAGACUAAAGCGAAAGCAUUCGUCAGCAUGUUUUCAUUGGCCAUGAGCGAAAGUCAGAGGCUCGAAGACGAUCAGAUACCGUCCUAGUUCUGACCAUAAACGAUGCCAACUGACGAUCCGUGGUGGUAGUAGUGUUACCUUCCCACGGGCAGUCCCCGGGAAACCUUUAAGUGUUUGGGUUCCGGGGGAAGUAUGGUUGCAAAGCUGAAACUUAAAGGAAUUGACGGAAGGGCACCACCAGGAGUGGAGCCUGCGGCUUAAUUUGACUCAACACGGGAAAACUCACCCGGGCCGGACACUGUGAGGAUUGACAGAUUGAGAGCUCUUUCUUGAUUUGGUGGUGGUGGUGCAUGGCCGUUCUUAGUUGGUGGAGCGAUUUGUCUGGUUAAUUCCGAUAACGAACGAGACUCCAACCUGCUAAUUAGUGCGUUUGUCCACUGCGCCUGCGUAGGUGACGCUGGAUGACACCACCUGUCACGAGGACGUGGCAGCGGCUCUUCUCUCCCUUCUCCGCUCGAAUGCCCUCCAGCGCCUCCUCCUCCUCCUCCUCCUCUCCUCCCCUUCUUCAGGCCUCAUCUGGCCGGCUGGCUGGCUGGCCGGGUGAGGCGGUGUGGUGGCGGUGGCGGUGGUGAGGGCGAUGGGUGGGGGAUGGUGCGGGUGGGCGAGUGGAUUGUGGUGGAGGAGGUGGGGUUGGGUGCGGCGCUCGUGGCCGGUUAGUCUGGCGUUGGCCUCGGGUGUGGCGCGAAUGCCUACUUCUUAGAGGGACAAGCGGGAGAAGCCGCACGAAAUAGAGCAAUAACAGGUCUGAUGCCCUUAG